GAAUAUUGGACAAUGGGCGAAAGCCUGAUCCAGCCAUGCCGCGUGGGUGAAGAAGGCCUUCGGGUUGUAAAGCCCUUUUGUUGGGGAAGAAAUCCUGCUGGCUAAUACCUGGCGGGGAUGACGGUACCCAAAGAAUAAGCACCGGCUAACUUCGUGCCAGCAGCCGCGGUAAUACGAAGGGUGCAAGCGUUACUCGGAAUUACUGGGCGUAAAGCGUGCGUAGGUGGUGGCUUAAGUCCGUUGUGAAAGCCCUGGGCUCAACCUGGGAAUUGCAGUGGAUACUGGGUCACUAGAGUGUGGUAGAGGGUGGCGGAAUUCCCGGUGUAGCAGUGAAAUGCGUAGAGAUCGGGAGGAACACCCGUGGCGAAGGCGGCCACCUGGGCCAACACUGACACUGAGGCACGAAAGCGUGGGGAGCAAAC
rnacentral:rRNA from 1 species